CGGGUACAGUGAUGGAUGGCUUAGUGGAUAUUGGUGCCCUUGUGUACAUAAACACCAUGGCACAAUUAAAUAAUCAUGUACCACUUUUCCUUCCCCUCUGAAGUCGCUGCAUACUAAUGUAGAUGAUUUUACAUAGGGCUUCUGCUUCAUUUGCUGAAGAGCUGAAAAACAUACUGGGAAAGGAGAACUGUGCCAGCUCAAGGUCAUAUGAACUGAAGAAUCCACAUCAGCGCAUGUCCUCUGGGCAUCACCAGCACAACAGCUCCCAGUUGUGAUGCAUAAGGAUGAGAAAUGACAGAAAUGAAGAAACCUAAAUGCAGAAAUACCGCAGGAGGUUACCUUUGAAUUAUUUCCAACCACAUGCUCUAUUUCACGACUCCAACAAACCCACUCCUAUUUCCUCCUCUGCAUUAAGGUGAUUGAAAACAACAGAAAGAUUGAAUUUGCCUUUCCUGCAUCUAGCCAGAAAAUAAAAUUUUGGGGGUAAGUUCUCCUGAACAAGCCCUUUUUCAAGCAUGAAAAAUACAUUAAGGGGAAAAAAAAGGAAUUACAUUCUGUACAAAUCCAGGUAUACAGCUCUUAUCAGGUAAGGGAACUAACAAAUGUCACAUUCCACAGAAGCUUGCCUCACUGGAAAUGGGAUUGAUGGUGGUUUUGAUGACUAGGUAAAGAAAGAAAACAUCUCGCUGAACAGAAAGUACUUUCCCAUGGAAAGCUGGAAUAGUACUAUUUUGAGUAAUGCCCUACUUAAACACAGGGACACCCUCACUCUGUCACUCACACAAACGUGAUUUGCAUGUUUGGUGGCUUGUAAUUCAGUCUCAGACUACAGUAACACCUUAUAAAAGAUGAUUCAUAAGAUUAUUAUAUUUGCACAUUUCCCUAUUACUGACAGUGAAGGCUUCCGUGGGCCACCAGUCUCAGGACUACAGCCACUGCAGGACAGCAUGACCAACAAACCAAAAAGGUCCCAACAUCUAUUGAUGUUAUUCCUAUUUGAAUGUGGAGCACAGCAGAGACUGCUGGGACUCCUGCCUUUGUGUCAUGGGAGGUUUUCAUUUUCUGAUGAGGAAAACAGGUUUUCUCCUGAAAAGGAGAGGUUUUAAGAUUUUAUAUCCACAGAAGACAAUGGAAUCGCCCAAGCUGAAGAACAGAG